ACCAGACUCCUACGGGAGGCAGCAGUGGGGGAUAUUGCACAAUGGGGGGAACCCUGAUGCAGCGACGCCGCGUGGGUGAAGAAGCGCCUCGGCGCGUAAAGCCCUGUCAGCAGGGAAGAAAAUGACGGUACCUGAAGAAGAAGCCCCGGCUAACUACGUGCCAGCAGCCGCGGUAAUACGUAGGGGGCAAGCGUUAUCCGGAUUUACUGGGUGUAAAGGGGGCGCAGACGGCGAUGCAAGCCAGGAGUGAAAGCCCGGGGCCCAACCCCGGGACUGCUCUUGGAACUGCGUGGCUGGAGUGCAGGAGGGGCAGGCGGAAUUCCUGGUGUAGCGGUGAAAUGCGUAGAUAUCAGGAGGAACACCGGUGGCGAAGGCGGCCUGCUGGACGGCGACUGACGUUGAGGCCCGAAAGCGUGGGGAGCAAACAGGAUUAGAUACCCCAGUAAAG
rnacentral:rRNA from 1 species